GCUUAGCCGUUAACACAGACAGCCUAAAACAACAACACUGUCCGCCAGAGAACUACAAGCGAAAAACUAGAAACUCUAAGGACUUGGCGGUGCCCCACACCUACCUAGAGGAGCCUGUCCUAUAAUCGAUACCCCACGUUAAACCCUGCCGCCCCUCGCACAACCAACCUAUAUACCGCCGUCGCCAGCCUACCUUAUGAAAGAACAACAGUAAGCAAAACAGUAAGCACUAACACGUCAGGUCAAGGUGUAGUAAAUGAGGCGGAAGAGAUGGGCUACAUUUCCUAAAAUAGAAAACACGAACAGCAAGGUGAAACACUUGCCAGAAGGAGGAUUUAGCAGUAAGACAAAAAACUUUUUUUAUCUUAAGACAGCUCUGGGGCGCGCACAC
rnacentral:rRNA from 1 species